UUAAAAUUUUCGCAAAAUCAUGUUUUUUUUUUAAGCAAUGAGAAGGCGUCAGCAUACAACAUUCUUUUAUUUUACACACAUUUAUGCUCCGAAUACGCGCCUCUACAUUGGUACGUGUCCAGUUUGCUUGUCGACUCUUAGUAUUCCUAUGAAAGCAGGCGCUGCACUGACAGUUGUCGCGUAACCAAACACUGGGAAAUUUUAAAGGUGAGCCAAGAUCCGGUCCCUGCAGUACAACGACAUUUCCUCCGGCCACAGACGCGGUAAGUUGGCGAUGCAACGGCCAGCAGUUCCGCGUAGCGGUUAGUUGGUGAAAAAUGCUCUUGAUAAGUUGCCUUGUGAACAUCUUUAUAUACCACUAUACACUGUGAGACAGCUACAUUAAUGUGAUAUGUAAGUAAUCGUACGUUGAUUGUUGGGCUUGAUAACGCGGUUGGGGAGAGAAAGUUCAUUGCUUCUAAGCGUAUAUUAUUAUUUAUAUUACAAAAAGUGCUUUUGAGUAUUGAAAAUAAAAGUAUGUACUUUAUUUUAGCAUAUUUGCCUUAUUAGAAAUUAUUCUCUGCGAUAUAUGUAUGAAAGCUUAAAUAUCCCGAAGUGCAGUUUAAAUUUUAGUUCACGUUGUAGAAUUUGUGUAGUAAGCGUCCAUUUUCUUA